AUAGAAACCUCAUACAGGAGAGCUCCGGUUGGCAUCAGGCUGGUGCCCCUCUGUGAUGAAGCUUCCAGAGGAAGGAGCAGGAAGCAAUUUUUGCCAUUCUACAGCCUCUAUUUGUGAUUCCCAGGUGAACAGGGUCUGGAGUGGACCUCUAGCAAGCUGCAACAGACCUGCGGAAGAGAGGCCUGUUAGAAGAAAAACUAACAAACAGAAAGCAACAACAUCAACAUCAACAUAAAGGACCACCACACAAAAACCCCAUCCAAUGUCAUCAGCCUCAAAGAUCAAAGGUAGAUAAGUCCAUGAAGAUGAGUAAAAACCAGUGCAAAAACACUGAAAAUUCAAAAAAUGAGAAUGCCUCUUCUCCUUCAAAUGAUCACAACCCCUCUCCAGCAAGGGCACAAAACUGGAUGGAGCAGGCUGGGUGCAGUGGCUUAAGCCUGUAAUCCCAGAACUUUGGGAGGCCAAGGCUGAGGCAGGUGGAUCACUUGAGGUCAGGAGUUCAAGACCAGCCUGACCAAGAUGGUAAAACCCUGUCUCUACUAAAAUACAAAAAUUAGCUGGGUAUGGUGGCAGGUGCCUGUAAUCCCAGUUAAUUGGGAGGCUGAGGCAGGAGAAUUGCUUGAACCCAGGUGGCAGAGGAUGCAGUAAGCCAAGACUGCACCACUGCAAUCCAGCCUGGGCGACAGAGCGAGACUCUGUCUCAAAAAAACAAACAAACAAAAACUGGACGGAGAAUGAGAUUGACGAAUUGACAGAAGUAGGCUUCAAAAGGUGGGUAAUAACAAACUCCUCUGAGCUAAAGGAGCAUGCUCUAACUCAAUGCAAGGAAGCUAAGAACCUUGACAAAAGGUUAGAGGAAUUGCUAACUAGAAUAAUCAGUUUAGACAGGAACAUAAAUGACCUGAUGGAGCUGAAAAACACAGCAUGAGAACUCUGCGAAGCAUACACAAGUAUCAAUAGCCAAAUCAAUCACGCGAAAGAAAGGAUAUGAGACUGGAGAUUAACUCAAUAGAAUAAGUCGUGAAGACAACAUUAGAGAAAAAAUAACAAAAAGGAAUGAACAAAGCCUCCAAGAAAGAUGGGAGUAUGUAAAAAAACCAAACCUAUGAUUGAUUGGUGUACCUGAAAGUGAUGUGGAUAUUAUCCAGAAGUUCCCCAACCUAGAAAGACAAGCCAACGUUCAAAUUCAGGAAAUAAAAAGAACACCACUAAGACACUCCUCGAGAAGAGCAACCCCAAGACACAAAAUCAUCAGAUUCUCCAAGGUUGAAAUGAAGGAAAAAAUGUUAAGGGCAGCCAGAGAGAAAGGCCAGGUUACCUACAAAGGGAAGUCUAUCAGACUAACAGCAGAACACUCUGUAGAAACACUAAAAGACAGAAGAGAGUAGGAGCCAAUAUUCAAUAUUCUUUUUUGUUUGUUUGAGACAGAGUUUUGAUUAUUGCUCAGGCUGGGGUGCAAUGGCACGAUCUUGGCUCACCAUAACCUCCAACUCCUGGGUUCAAGCGAUUCUCCUGCCUCAGCUUCACGAGUAGCUGAAAUUACAGGUGCACGCCACCACGCCCGGUUUUUGGGCUCACGCCUGUAAUCCCAGCACUUUGGGAGGCCAAGGAGGGUGGAUCACCUGAGAUUGGGAGUUCAAGACCAACCUGGCCAACAUGGUGAAAUCCUAUCUCUACUAAAAAUACAAAAAUCAGCCAGGCAUGGUGGCAGGCACCUAUAAUCCCACCUAUUCUGGAGGCUGAGGCAGGAUAAUCACUUGAACCUGACAGGCAGGGGUUGCAGUGAGCCAAGAUCAUGCCACUGCACUCCAGCCUGGGCAACAGAGCGAGACUCCAUCUCAAAAAAAAAAAAAAAAAAAAAAGCAAAAGAAUUUUCAACCCAGAAUUUCAUAUCCAGCCAAACUAAGCUUCGUAUGCAAAGGAGAAAGAAAAUCCUUUACAGACGAGCAAAUGCUGAGGGAUUUUGUCACCACCAGGCCUCCCUUAGAAGAGGUCCUGAAGGAAGCACUAAAUAUGGAAAGGAAAAACCAGUACCAGCCACUGCAAAAACACAUCGAACUAUAAAGUCCAAUGACACUAUGAAGAAACUGCAUCAACUAAUGUGCAAUAUAACCAGUUAGCAUCAUGAUGACAGGAUCAAAUUCACGCAUAACAAUAUUAAUUUUAUAUGUAAAUAGGCUAAAUGCCCCAAUUAAAAGACACAGACUGGCAAAUUGGAUAAAGGGUCAAGACUGUGCUGUAUGCAGGAGACCUAUCUCACAUGCAGAGAGACACAUAGGCUCAAAAUAAAGGGAUGGAGGAAUAUUUACUUACCAAGCAAACGGAAAGAAAAAAAAAAAAGCAGGGAUUGCAGUCCUAGUCUCUGAUAAAACAGACUUUAAACCAACAAAGAUCAAAAAAGACAAAGAAGGGCAUUACAUAAUGGUAAAGGGAUCAAUGCAACAAGAAGAGCUAACUAUCCUUAAUAUAUAUGCAGCCAAUACAGGAGCCCCCAGAUUGAUAAAACAAGUUCUUAGUAACUUACAAAGAAACUUAGAUGCCCACACAAUAAUAGUGGGAGACUUUAACACCCCAGUGUCAAUAUUAGACAGAUAACAAGACCGAAAAUUAGCAAGGAUAUUCAGGACUUCAACUCAGCUCUGGACCAAACGAACCUAAUAGACAUCUCCAGAACUCUCCACCCCAAAUCAACAGAAUAUACAUUCUUCUCAGUGCCACAUAGCACUUAUUCUGAAAUCAACCACAUAAUUGGAAGUAAAACACUCCUCAGCAAAUGCAAAAGAACUGAAAUCAUAACAAACAGUCUAUCAGAUGACAGUGCAAUCAAAUUAGAACUCAGGAUUAAGAAAUUCACUCCAAACUGCACAACUACAUGGAAAUUGAACAAUCUGCUGCUGAAUGACUACUGGGUAAAUAAUAAAAUUAAGGCAGAAAUACGAGUGCCUGCGAUUGCAGGCGCACGCCGCCGUGCCUGACUGGUUUUCGUAUUUUUUUUGGUGGAUACGGGGUUUCGCUGUGUUGGCUGGGCUGGUCUCCAGCUCCUAACCGCGAGUGAUCCACCAGCCUCAGCCCCCCGAGGUGCCGGGAUUGCAGACGGAGUCUCGUUCACUCAGUGCUCAAUGGUGCCCAGGCUGGAGUGCAGUGGCAUGAUCUCGGCUCGCUACAACCUCCACCUCCCAGCUGCCUGCCUUGGCCUCCCAAAGUGCCGAGAUUGCAGCCUCUGCCCGGCCGCCACCCCUUCUGGGAAGUGAGGAGCGUCUCUUCCUGGCCACCCAUCGUCUGGGAUGUGAGGAGCCCCUCUGCCUGGCUGCCCAGCCUGGGAAGUGAGGAACGCCUCUUCCCGGCUGCCAUCCCAUCUAGGAAGUGAGGAGCGUCUCUGCCCGGCCGCCCAUCGUCUGAGAUGUGGGGAGCGCCUCUGCCCCGCCGCCCCAUCUGGGAUGUGAGGAGCGCCUCUGCCCGGCCACGACCCCGUCUGGGAGGUGAGGAGCGUCUCUGCCUGGCCGCCCCGUCUGAGAAGUGAGGAGCCCCUCCGCCCAGCAGCCGCCCCGUCUGAGAAGUGAGGAGCCCCUCCGCCCGGCAGCCACCCCGUCUGGGAAGUGAGGAGCGUCUCUGCCUGGCAGCCACCCCAUCCGGGAGGGAGGUGGGGGUCAGCCCCCGCCCGGCCAGCCGCCCCAUCCGGGAGGGAGGUGGGGGGCCAGCC
rnacentral:lncRNA from 10 species